CUUUAGGAGAUGAGGCGAAAGCUCAACAGAUCCUAUGGAAGUGGCCAUAUUGGGCAGCCCGUGAGCACGAGCCUGGAUUUCCAGUUCCUGUCAAACACACAAACACGGGCAGAAAAAAGAAACUCAUACAAGACUGGAUUGACAUGAUGGUGGUUAAAUGGGAGCAAUGCAGAAACCGCUACUUUCAUCCAAACCGCCGAGAACGAAAGUCGUGCCUGUAAACUGCUAACCUGAAACUUUUGAACACAAAAGAAGAUAUUUUGAGAAAUGCGAUGGAAGUCAAUGGGGGUCGAUGUUGUUUGGUUAUCAACGUGCAGAAGAAAGUCAUACAGGUCUGGAAUGACAGGAGGGUAACGGCGGCGUGAGAUUGACCCUACCUUCCAUCGGGUGCAUGGCCAGGGCCGUGUGGACGGCUGCUUGCUGUAGCUGAAGCCUGCGUUUGGUUUGGUGUGCGGACACGUGGAGAACGGAGGUCCCGGGGUCCACUGA